rnacentral:rRNA from 1 species
GAUGAACGCUGGCGGCGUGCCUAAUACAUGCAAGUCGAGCGAACAGACGAGGAGCUUGCUCCUUCGACGUUAGCGGCGGACGGGUGAGUAACACGUAGGUAACCUACCUAUAAGACUGGGAUAACUUCGGGAAACCGGAGCUAAUACCGGAUAAUAUUUCGAACCGCAUGGUUCGAUAGUGAAAGAUGGCUUUGCUAUCACUUAUAGAUGGACCUGCGCCGUAUUAGCUAGUUGGUAAGGUAACGGCUUCCAAGGCAACGAUACGUAGCCGACCUGAGAGGGUGAUCGGCCACACUGGAACUGAGACACGGUCCAGACUCCUACGGGAGGCAGCAGUAGGGAAUCUUCCGCAAUGGGCGAAAGCCUGACGGAGCAACGCCGCGUGAGUGAUGAAGGUCUUCGGAUCGUAAAACUCUGUUAUUAGGGAAGAACAAACGUGUAAGUAACUGUGCACGUCUUGACGGUACCUAAUCAGAAAGCCACGGCUAACUACGUG